rnacentral:rRNA from 1 species
CCUACGGGUGGCUGCAGUGGGGAAUAUUGGACAAUGGGGGGAACCCUGAUCCAGCCAUGCCGCGUGUGUGAAGAAGGCCCUCGGGUUGUAAAGCACUUUCAGUGAGGAAGAACGCCUGGUGGUUAAUACCCAUCAGGAAAGACAUCACUCACAGAAGAAGCACCGGCUAACUCCGUGCCAGCAGCCGCGGUAAUACGGAGGGUGCGAGCGUUAAUCGGAAUUACUGGGCGUAAAGCGCGCGUAGGUGGCUUGAUAAGCCGGUUGUGAAAGCCCCGGGCUCAACCUGGGAACGGCAUCCGGAACUGUCAAGCUAGAGUGCAGGAGAGGAAGGUAGAAUUCCCGGUGUAGCGGUGAAAUGCGUAGAGAUCGGGAGGAAUACCAGUGGCGAAGGCGGCCUUCUGGACUGACACUGACACUGAGGUGCGAAAGCGUGGGUAGCAAACAGGAUUAGAUAUCCCUGUAGUC